rnacentral:rRNA from 1 species
AUUGAACGCUGGCGGCAUGCUUUACACAUGCAAGUCGAACGGCAGCACGGGCUUCGGCCUGGUGGCGAGUGGCGAACGGGUGAGUAAUAUAUCGGAACGUACCCAGAAGUGGGGGAUAACGUAGCGAAAGUUACGCUAAUACCGCAUACGAUCUAUGGAUGAAAGCAGGGGACCGCAAGGCCUUGUGCUCCUGGAGCGGCCGAUAUCUGAUUAGCUAGUUGGUGAGGUAAAGGCUCACCAAGGCGACGAUCAGUAGCUGGUCUGAGAGGACGACCAGCCACACUGGAACUGAGACACGGUCCAGACUCCUACGGGAGGCAGCAGUGGGGAAUUUUGGACAAUGGGCGCAAGCCUGAUCCAGCAAUGCCGCGUGAGUGAAGAAGGCCUUCGGGUUGUAAAGCUCUUUUGUCAGGGGAGAAACGGUAGAGGCUAAUAUCCUUUGCUAAUGACGGUACCUGAAGAAUAAGCACCGGCUAACUACGUG